rnacentral:rRNA from 1 species
UACGUAGGUGACAAGCGUUGUCCGGAUUUACUGGGCGUAAAGAGCGCGCAGGCGGUCGAUCAAGUCGAGUGUGAAAGCCCCCGGCUCAACUGGGGAGGGUCAUUCGAAACUGGUCGACUCGAAGGCAGGAGAGGGUAGUGGAAUUCCCGGUGUAGCGGUGAAAUGCGCAGAUAUCGGGAGGAACACCGGUGGCGAAGGCGGUUCUCUGGGCCUUACCUGACGCUGAGGAGCGAAAGCGUGGGGAGCGAACAGG